GGUUAAGCGACUAAGCGUACACGGUGGAUGCCCUGGCAGUCAGAGGCGAUGAAGGGCGUGCUAAUCUGCGAUAAGCGCCGGUAAGGUGAUAUGAACCGUUAUAACCGGCGAUACCCGAAUGGGGAAACCCAGUGUGACUCGUCACACUAUCAUUAACUGAAUCCAUAGGUUAAUGAGGCGAACCGGGGGAACUGAAACAUCUAAGUACCCCGAGGAAAAGAAAUCAACCGAGAUUCCCCCAGUAGCGGCGAGCGAACGGGGAGGAGCCCAGAGCCUGAAUCAGCAUGUGUGUUAGUGGAAGCGUCUGGAAAGGCGCGCGAUACAGGGUGACAGCCCCGUACACAAAAGCGCAUGUGUUGUGAGCUCGAUGAGUAGGGCGGGACACGUGGUAUCCUGUCUGAAUAUGGGGGGACCAUCCUCCAAGGCUAAAUACUCCUGACUGACCGAUAGUGAACCAGUACCGUGAGGGAAAGGCGAAAAGAACCCCGGCGAGGGGAGUGAAAAAGAACCUGAAACCGUGUACGUACAAGCAGUGGGAGCACAGGUUUACCUGUGUGACUGCGUACCUUUUGUAUAAUGGGUCAGCGACUUAUAUUCUGUAGCAAGGUUAACCGUAUAGGGGAGCCGUAGGGAAACCGAGUCUUAACCGGGCGUUAAGUUGCAGGGUAUAGACCCGAAACCCGGUGAUCUAGCCAUGGGCAGGUUGAAGGUUGGGUAACACUAACUGGAGGACCGAACCGACUAAUGUUGAAAAAUUAGCGGAUGACCUGUGGCUGGGGGUGAAAGGCCAAUCAAACCGGGAGAUAGCUGGUUCUCCCCGAAAGCUAUUUAGGUAGCGCCUCGUGAAUUCAUCUUCGGGGGUAGAGCACUGUUUCGGCUAGGGGGCCAUCCCGGCUUACCAACCCGAUGCAAACUGCGAAUACCGGAGAAUGUUAUCACGGGAGACACACGGCGGGUGCUAACGUCCGUCGUGAAGAGGGAAACAACCCAGACCGCCAGCUAAGGUCCCAAAGUCAUGGUUAAGUGGGAAACGAUGUGGGAAGGCCCAGACAGCCAGGAUGUUGGCUUAGAAGCAGCCAUCAUUUAAAGAAAGCGUAAUAGCUCACUGGUCGAGUCGGCCUGCGCGGAAGAUGUAACGGGGCUAAACCAUGCACCGAAGCUGCGGCAGCGAACGUAUCACUUAAAGCGAUUCAGCGGGUUACGAUUGACGGAGCGAAGCGACGUCAAAGCGUAUACAAAGUCGAGUCGGUUUAAGGAUACGUUCGUUGGGUAGGGGAGCGUUCUGUAAGCCUGUGAAGGUGGCCUGUGAGGGUUGCUGGAGGUAUCAGAAGUGCGAAUGCUGACAUAAGUAACGAUAAAGCGGGUGAAAAGCCCGCUCGCCGGAAGACCAAGGGUUCCUGUCCAACGUUAAUCGGGGCAGGGUGAGUCGACCCCUAAGGCGAGGCCGAAAGGCGUAGUCGAUGGGAAACGGGUUAAUAUUCCCGUACUUGGUGUUACUGCGAAGGGGGGACGGAGAAGGCUAUGUUGGCCGGGCGACGGUUGUCCCGGUUUAAGCGUGUAGGUGUGUGUUCCAGGUAAAUCCGGUUCACUUUAACACUGAGGCGUGAUGACGAGGCACUACGGUGCUGAAGCAACAAAUGCCCUGCUUCCAGGAAAAGCCUCUAAGCAUCAGGUAACAUCAAAUCGUACCCCAAACCGACACAGGUGGUCAGGUAGAGAAUACCAAGGCGCUUGAGAGAACUCGGGUGAAGGAACUAGGCAAAAUGGUGCCGUAACUUCGGGAGAAGGCACGCUGACACGUAGGUGAAGUGAUUUACUCAUGGAGCUGAAGUCAGUCGAAGAUACCAGCUGGCUGCAACUGUUUAUUAAAAACACAGCACUGUGCAAACACGAAAGUGGACGUAUACGGUGUGACGCCUGCCCGGUGCCGGAAGGUUAAUUGAUGGGGUCAGCGCAAGCGAAGCUCCUGAUCGAAGCCCCGGUAAACGGCGGCCGUAACUAUAACGGUCCUAAGGUAGCGAAAUUCCUUGUCGGGUAAGUUCCGACCUGCACGAAUGGCGUAAUGAUGGCCAGGCUGUCUCCACCCGAGACUCAGUGAAAUUGAACUCGCUGUGAAGAUGCAGUGUACCCGCGGCAAGACGGAAAGACCCCGUGAACCUUUACUAUAGCUUGACACUGAACAUUGAGCCUUGAUGUGUAGGAUAGGUGGGAGGCUUUGAAGUGUGGACGCCAGUCUGCAUGGAGCCGACCUUGAAAUACCACCCUUUAAUGUUUGAUGUUCUAACGUGGACCCGUUACCCGGGUUGCGGACAGUGUCUGGUGGGUAGUUUGACUGGGGCGGUCUCCUCCUAAAGAGUAACGGAGGAGCACGAAGGUUGGCUAAUCCUGGUCGGACAUCAGGAGGUUAGUGCAAUGGCAUAAGCCAGCUUGACUGCGAGCGUGACGGCGCGAGCAGGUGCGAAAGCAGGUCAUAGUGAUCCGGUGGUUCUGAAUGGAAGGGCCAUCGCUCAACGGAUAAAAGGUACUCCGGGGAUAACAGGCUGAUACCGCCCAAGAGUUCAUAUCGACGGCGGUGUUUGGCACCUCGAUGUCGGCUCAUCACAUCCUGGGGCUGAAGUAGGUCCCAAGGGUAUGGCUGUUCGCCAUUUAAAGUGGUACGCGAGCUGGGUUUAGAACGUCGUGAGACAGUUCGGUCCCUAUCUGCCGUGGGCGCUGGAGAACUGAGGGGGGCUGCUCCUAGUACGAGAGGACCGGAGUGGACGCAUCACUGGUGUUCGGGUUGUCAUGCCAAUGGCACUGCCCGGUAGCUAAAUGCGGAAGAGAUAAGUGCUGAAAGCAUCUAAGCACGAAACUUGCCCCGAGAUGAGUUCUCCCUGAGACUUAAAGUCUCCUGAAGGAACGUUGAAGACGACGACGUUGAUAGGCCGGGUGUGUAAGCGCAGCGAUGCGUUGAGCUAACCGGUACUAAUGAACCGUGAGGCUUAACCUU
rnacentral:rRNA from 1 species